GACGAACGCUGGCGGUGUGCCUCAAACAUGCAAGUCGAGGGAGGGUUGGCGUCUGGCUUGCCAGACGUUCAACUCUACCGGCGAACGGGUGAGUAACACGUGGGCAAUCUGCCCUGAAGACGGGGACAACCUCGGGAAACCGUGGCUAAUACCCCGAUACCCUCCUUGGGGGCGAUCCCUACGGAAGGAAAGGUACCGCAAGGUACCGCUUCAGGAGGAGCCCGCCGGCCUAUCAGCUUGUUGGUGGGGUCGACGGCCGUACCAAGGACUAUGACGGGUAGCUGGUCUGAGAGGACGAUCAGCCACACUGGGACUGAGACACGG
rnacentral:rRNA from 1 species